GUGGGGAAUAUUGGGCAAUGGGGGAAACCCUGACCCAGCAACGCCGCGUGAAGGAAGAAGGCUUUCGGGUUGUAAACUUCUUUUACCAGGGACGAAGAAAGUGACGGUACCUGGAGAAAAAGCCACGGCUAACUACGUGCCAGCAGCCGCGGUAAUACGUAGGUGGCAAGCGUUGUCCGGAUUUACUGGGUGUAAAGGGCGUGUAGGCGGAGCAGCAAGUCAGAAGUGAAAUCUCCGGGCUUAACCCGGAAACUGCUUUUGAAACUGUUGCCCUUGAGUAUCGGAGAGGCAGGCGGAAUUCCUAGUGUAGCGGUGAAAUGCGUAGAUAUUAGGAGGAACACCAGUGGCGAAGGCGGCCUGCUGGACGACAACUGACGCUGAGGCGCGAAAGCGUGGGGAGCAAACAGG
rnacentral:rRNA from 1 species